rnacentral:lncRNA from 1 species
UUUUUUUUUCCCGUCUGAAAAUAUUCAUUCAACGAAGAGAUACACGAUUGAUACACAAACUGGCGGAAAACAAAGAUAUCCCCAGAAACAUAAGCCCAAAGAAAGGCACCUAAAACCCACACCGGGAGUGACUUACAAAAACAAGAACACAAACACAUACACUCCGACAAAAGGAAAUUACAUAACCCACCAUGAUAAUAGUACACUAAGCUUGCACCAGUCUCUGAACGAGAUAUAUCGUUGUCCGGCUGACCAAACGAUAACUUCAACCUCUACCAACACCUACCAACACCGAGAGCACUCCUCUCCACCUCAAAGAAACCAGACUUUAUAACCCGGUAAGAUAGAACCAUACUUAGAACAUACUUUCUUCCGGAUACGGCUGCGACACAACUUCAUUGCGUCCAAGCAACACCUCCAUAAAAGUCCUAUAAAGAACACUCCAAUCUCAACAGAUCUGGAGAUAAACGAGGUCAGACCCGGUAACGACCACACCGAAGCAGUAGUUACAAACAGGAAAGCGUUCACACCCUCAUUACACACUCGAAAACACUACAAGCUUAGGACCAAAAAUCAAAAGAGAGCAUAAUAAUUUCCUAAUAUAGAGGUCAAGAACCACAUGAUAUCCAGACUUCACUAAAAACACAUAAAUAAAAAACCCCCGAUUCACUUGCAGGAAACAAAGCCAGAACAGAGCCCACAACCAACAGAGACAAGAGCCAUAAGAUUCUCUUAACCACCGCAACAAAAACGGACUGAUUCAGUCCGAGAACCAAGAAUGGUCGUUUCACGCGUUUCACGCACCUACACUAUGGAAGAAAGGCGGACAGAUCUGAGCCAUCAGAGAAGGAAGCCACUGGAUGGGUAGAGAGAGUCACAGCUGCAUCAUCACAUCUUCAGAUCUGGGCCACACACGCCUAAAUCGAACCGUAGCUCAACUGGCGAACCGUUGCUUCAUCUCACAAACAAGGAGACCGAGGACCGUACAAAGAAACAAAACACUAGAACAGGCUCAACGCCGUGGCUCGAGAGCCAAAGGACGUGAUUGUUGAGAAAAUAAGACUACAGAAGAGUAUAGGUUUUCUCUUUUCUUUUUGGAGUUGGAUUUAGAAUGUGGCUUAAUGUGUGAGACAGGGAAGGAAUAUUUAAGGCUUUUGGAAAGCUUAAAAAAAGGAGAGGCUGCACGAAAGGAUGGGUGGGUCUUUUUCUGAAGAGAGGCUUUAUUUGCUUUGUUUCAAGAUUUGUUGUCUUUUUUAAUGGUAUUUAAUUAUUGGCUCCAUAUUUAUUGUUUGGUUGGGGAUCAUUCAUUUUAUCUGAGUGCUUACCCCGGUUAAGAUUUUUUCGUAUUAGCUAAAAUGUCCUUAUUUGAAUAUCAAAAAUUCAAAUAUAAGAAUAAUACAUUAAUAUAAUUUAUUCGCUACAUGAACUACAUUUCCGUUAAUAGUCUAAUAGUACAUGAAUUUACUUUCUAAAAAAAAUAUUAGGUUAACUUGUCGAUGAAAAUGCAAGUCACAUGCACGAUAUAAGUACAUGCAUAUAGUACAUUUAAGUUUUAUUUAAUUUAAGCUUUUAUCUUUGUUUUAUCUAAUAUCGCUUUUAAUAAAUUUUUAAUUUUGAUUAUUAAUAAUAGAAAAAUACAUAAAACUAAUUCGCCCUAGUUGCAGUGACCACUUUGAUUAAGUCUUUUUCUGUAAUUGAUUAAGUCUUUUCAGAAACUAUAUUUGUUGAUCAGCACUCUAGCUUUCUUAAUUAAACAGGUUGAAGUUAGAUCAAAAUAGAUGGAUGAAUAUACUUUUAAGAUUUGACUAAUUUAAAGGCAGAUGUGGUUGUGAAUGCGAGAAUUUGUAUAAACAUGUAAUUGUAAAUAUUCAGAAAACAAUUUUGAUUUUGAAAAGUUUGAAGCAGCACAAAACUGUAAUUUUUUAUAAUUGUUAUCAAACACCAAUAACUACUAUGACCCACAAACACUACCAAUCAAUCUCUUAAUUUCUAAAGUGAGCAAAAAACUAUGUUUUUUUUUUUUCCCGUCUGAAAAUAUUCAUUCAACGAAGAGAUACACGAUUGAUACACAAACUGGCGGAAAACAAAGAUAUCCCCAGAAACAUAAGCCCAAAGAAAGGCACCUAAAACCCACACCGGGAGUGACUUACAAAAACAAGAACACAAACACAUACACUCCGACAAAAGGAAAUUACAUAACCCACCAUGAUAAUAGUACACUAAGCUUGCACCAGUCUCUGAACGAGAUAUAUCGUUGUCCGGCUGACCAAACGAUAACUUCAACCUCUACCAACACCUACCAACACCGAGAGCACUCCUCUCCACCUCAAAGAAACCAGACUUUAUAACCCGGUAAGAUAGAACCAUACUUGGAACAUACUUUCUUCCGGAUACGGCUGCGACACAACUUCAUUGCAUCCAAGCAACACCUCCAUAAAAGUCCUAUAAAGAACACUCCAAUCUCAACAGAUCUGGAGAUAAACGAGGUCAGACCCGGUAACGACCACACCGAAGCAGUAGUUACAAACAGGAAAGCGUUCACACCCUCAUUACACACUCGAAAACACUACAAGCUUAGGACCAAAAAUCAAAAGAGAGCAUAAUAAUUUCCUAAUAUAGAGGUCAAGAACCACAUGAUAUCCAGACUUCACUAAAAACACAUAAAUAAAAAACCCCCGAUUCACUUGCAGGAAACAAAGCCAGAACAGAGCCCACAACCAACAGAGACAAGAGCCAUAAGAUUCUCUUAACCACCGCAACAAAAACGGACCGAUUCGGUCCGAGAACCAAGAACGGCCGUCUUCACGCGCUUCACUCGCCUACACAAUGGAUGAAAGGCGGAUAGAUCUGAGCCAUCAGAGAAGGAAGCCACUGGAUGGAUAAAGAGAGUCACUUCUGCAUCAUCAUAUCUUCAGAUCUGGGCCACACACGCCUAAAUCGAACCGUAGCUCAACCGGCGAACCGUUGCUUCAUCUCACAAACAAGGAGACCGAGGACCAUACAAAGAAACAAAACACUAGAACAGGCUCAACGCCGUGGCUCGAGAGCCAACGGAUGCUGGCCGAGCCAGAAAUCCGGUGAAGUCUUCUUCUUCUUCGAAAGGAUAAGAGAGAGUGUUUCAGUUUUUUU